rnacentral:lncRNA from 1 species
GUGCUAUUUGAUUAGGUUGCGGGAGUAUUUCUUUUUACAAAAGCAAUACAUUUUGAAACAAUCAAAUAAUAUUAUAUAGAAAAAUUGAGUUAAUCAUAAAAGAUAUCCUCAUUUCCUUGUCAACAAUACCUAUCCCAAACAAAACAUCAUUACCCCAUAUUGCACCAAUUCACCAUUCAUCAUUAAUCCAAACAUCUUUCAAUCCUCUAAUAUUCAUGCCAUUUCCGAAACACCACCUCAUGUCUUCUUUGUCUUAAAAGACUCCAAAAUAAAGGAGGGAAUGGACCCCUCUUAUGCAAAUGUUUAACUUUAAAAUUCCUAUCUUGUUUUAUUUUAUGGGUAAACUAUCAAAAUAAUCACUUUUGUUUCUUUUAGAUUAUAUUUUAGUCACUUACGGUAACGUGUUUAACAUUUUAGCCACUAAGCUGUUAAUUACCAUUAACGGUGUAAUGAUAAGCUAAUGUGACACGUUGAAUCAUCAUUUUAAACAAAAACUUUAUGUUAAAUUAUACAAUCGAUUCCUAUAUUUUUUUUUGUUUUGAGCAAUUUAAUUUUUUCUUUUAUGUUAUUUUAAUUUUUUUUUCAUUCUCUUCUGCUUUUCCCUCCCUUCUCCAUCUGUUUUAACGUAAAAGAAAAAAAUUAAAUUUCUCAAAACAAGAAAAAUAUAGGGACCAAUUAUAUAAUUUAACCUAAAAUUUUCAUUUAAAAUGAUAAUUUAACGUGCCAUGUCAGCUUACCGUUACACCAUUAACGGUUAUUAACAGUUCAGUGACUAAAAAAUAUUACAACACGAUAACGUAAGUGACUAAAACAUAACAUUUCAAACAUAAGUGACUAAAAUAUAAUUUGAGACAAACAUAAGUGACUAUUUUGACAGUUUGACCUUAUUUUAUUUAUAUAUAUAUUAUAUGAUUACAUAAUAUGUAAAAGAUAACAAUAAUAAAUUAUUAGAAGAAAAUUUAAGGAUGACAAAAAGGUUAAUUUUAAAUGUUAAAAAUACAAUUUCUUUUAGUAAUUAAUCAUAAUAUAAUGAAUAUCAAGGUUUAAAUUUUGGUUCAUGGGUGAACCUUACUCAUUUCUUGAAGAGGAUACUGAAUUAUUUUUAAAAAAAUCAAACCAUAAUCAAAUAUUAUCUUCUUUUUUUAAAAAAAAUUAAUAAUUUUACUCCUUCAGAGAAAUCUUUUUAGUAGAAGUUAAAAUCCAGAUAAACAACUCAAAUUUAAAUUUUAAAUAGGUAUAAUAUUGUAAAUUUAAAAUAAGAAAUAAAUAAAUUAUUUAAUUUAUAGCUUUUUGAUAAAAAAAAUUAAGAAUUAUCUAAUAUAGGUGAUAUGGUUUUUUUUUUCCCUUUAAAAAAAAAAAAAAACCUAAGAAACUCGGUGACUAAUUGUGAGUACCGUAGUUGGAGUUGAGGCGUUGGCUAUGAUGAUGAUAGGAUGGAUGGUAUUGUUAGUGGGGGUGUUGUUGGUCCCUUCAUCCC